rnacentral:rRNA from 1 species
GGGGUAUCGAAUGAAGUGCUUAACUGCAUUUUUUCUUACACAUGUGUUUUUCUUUUUUUGAAAACUUUGCUUUGGUAGGCCUUCUAUAUGGGGCCUGCCAGAGAUUAAACUCAACCAAAUUUUAUUUAAUGUCAACCGAUUAUUUAAUAGUCAAAACUUUCAACAACGGAUCUCUUGGUUCUCGCAUCGAUGAAGAACGCAGCGAAAUGCGAUAAGUAAUAUGAAUUGCAGAUAUUCGUGAAUCAUCGAAUCUUUGAACGCACAUUGCGCCCUUUGGUAUUCCAAAGGGCAUGCCUGUUUGAGCGUCAUUUCUCCCUCAAACCCUCGGGUUUGGUGUUGAGCGAUACGCUGGGUUUGCUUGAAAGAAAGGCGGAGUAUAAACUAAUGGAUAGGUUUUUUCCACUCAUUGGUACAAACUCCAAAACUUCUUCCAAAUUCGACCUCAAAUCAGGUAGGACUACCCGCUGAACUUAAGCAUAUCAAUAAGCGGAGGAA